rnacentral:rRNA from 1 species
CCUAUGGGAGGCAGCAGUGGGGAAUUUUGGACAAUGGGCGCAAGCCUGAUCCAGCCAUUCCGCGCGAGUGAAGAAGGCCUUCGGGUUGUAAAGCUCUUUCGGCAGGAACGAAACGGUUUGGGCUAAUACCCUGAGCUAAUGACGGUACCUGAAGAAGAAGCACCGGCUAACUACGUGCCAGCAGCCGCGGUAAUACGUAGGGUGCGAGCGUUAAUCGGAAUUACUGGGCGUAAAGCGUGCGCAGGCGGUUUUGUAAGACAGAUGUGAAAUCCCCGGGCUCAACCUGGGAACUGCGUUUGUGACUGCAAGACUCGAGUGUGGCAGAGGGGGGUGGAAUUCCACGUGUAGCAGUGAAAUGCGUAGAGAUGUGGAGGAACACCGAUGGCGAAGGCAGCCCUGGGUCAACACUGACGCUCAUGCACGAAAGCGUGGGUAGCAAACAGGAUUAGAUACCCUGGUAGUCCACGCCCUAAACGAUGCGAACUAGGUGUUGGGGAAGGAGACUUCCUUAGUACCGCAGCUAACGCGUGAGGUUCGCCGCCUGGGGAGUACGGUCGCAAGAUUAAAACUCAAAGGAAUAGACGG